GCGCGCUUAGCUCAGUGGUUAGAGCAUCACUCUUGAAUCUUGGGGUUGCAGGUUCAAUUCCUGCAGUGCAAA
rnacentral:tRNA from 1 species